rnacentral:lncRNA from 1 species
UUUAUUUCCAGCUUUAUUCUUUACAAUUUUAAAAUAAAUUAGAUACAUUUGAUGCUCAUGAAUACGGAGGAACUACAGCAGUAGCCAGAGGUAAGCUGGGAUUGGACAAGCUUAAUCAAAUAGCUAUGGAAAGCACCUACAUACUGACAUGUGCUGUUCUCAGAUUAUCCCACUUGUAAAUUCCAUUCUAGAAAGUACUGCCUGCUACUCCAAAUUUCCCCAUAUGCUGUCUCAGGAAAAGAACUGUGUUUUCUUAUAGUGAAUGGUUACACAUAGAGCUAGUCUAAUCCUCCAAAUAGCCAAAGGCGAACCUGAUUAAUUACAUUUAAGAUUAUUUAAAAGAAUACUAAAAUUAAGUCACAAGUAAAUGCUGUUCAUACUUGUUCAAUAAUUUGCCCAUGCAAAUCAUCGAUAAUCUCCACCCAUUAAAGUUCAACUUGAGUCUAGAUGCUUGAUAUUCUUUUAUUAAAGUUCUUUAGUAGCCCUAAAGUGUUCAACCCUUUUGUAAAAAGUUACUAGUUAUUACAGCAGAGCCCUAAAAUUAGUAUUGAUACCCAUAGUUCACAGCCACCUAAGUAAAUGGCUAUCCAGACAAUUUCAGCCUUAAUUCAAUUACACUAUACUGAAUGAUACAUUGCUAAUAAAACCUGACUGGAGAGUCAGUAAGUGUCCUUGGUGAUCUUAAUUGGAAUCAUUCAAAGUCCCACCUAUAAAUACAUUGUUAUCUUUUUUUAAAAAAGUAGUAUAAAAAUACUUUUGGUGGUGCUAAGUUUAUCUGCAAAGCCUUCUUACAAUGUGUCCACAGGACAAUAGUUCUGGUUCACAGUAAGGCUAUCAUUUUUAAGAGAAC